CGUCCCUGCAUGUUGGACUCUGAUCUGACCUUUUAAUUGUUUUCAGUGACAUAUAGCAGAUCCCAACGUGGCAAGCGGUUGUUGUGCGUAGAUGGAUACAAAUUCCGUUUUCAAUGUGUCGCAGGACGGAAAAACCGAUGGUGACAUUCGUUAAAUCCAAACGCGGGAAGACCUUACUGAAGCUUGAUGGCUACACAUUCUAUUCCAAAGUGGUAAAUGGUCCGAAAACCCGAUGGGUAUGUUCCACCCACAACAACAAGGGAUGCCGGGCGACCGUAUACACGUGUGACAACAAAAUAAUAAAGAUGAAGAAUGAACAUCAACACGCAACUCAGCAAAAUAUGAUCGAUGGUCAAAAACGGUAUUUGUGUACAGAGAACGUGCAUUCUGGAAGAUCGCUGAUGAUAAAGCACCGUCGUAAAUAAAACAAGCAUUUCAUACCACUGUUCAAAAAACCGGUAUAUAUAACUCAGUAAACGGCACAAAUCAUGAGCACAGUUGAUCUAUACCAGCCAUACUCAAUCUUUUUUUAAAGGGGCCACAAAACGUUUCGGUCUUGCAGAUUGCAGAUUGCAGAAAUUGCAGAUGUAUUAAUUAUUGAAAAAGAAAAUCCGGUCACAAUAAAGCCAGCUAUACAAUACAUGAUUUUCUGAUGGGUGCGAAAUUUAAAAACUUUGCCUGUAAAUCAAGAUGGGCCAAUCACAAGGGUCCGGCGGGCCGCAGGUUGAGUAUGGCUGAUCUAUACUAUCCACUUUCAUGCAAUUUCAUUGUAAAAAAAGAAUUUUCCAAAUCGGUUCAUAAAUGAGCGAGUUCUGAGGUAACAAACAUACAAAAAAAAAUUCACGUCGAAUUGAUAACCUCCUCCUUUUUUUGAAGUCGGUUAAAAAUUAAAUGUAAGUAUAGUAGCCAAUAAACAAUCAGCAUCAAUUAAAGAACCAAUCACGCGAAACAUCGGCGCGUUGGAUGUCCAACCGACCAAUCACGGGUGUGCUCACGACUCGUGCCUUCAUUUCUGACGAUGUUAAAUUCCGAUAUUUCCCUAGCCAAAUAUAAAUAUUUAAUAUCGAAAUUAAGCUUUGAGCUAACAUGCGAUAGAAUAGAUAUUAAAAUAAAUAUCUUUAAUUGUUAUUUUAUUAAAUUAUUUUUAUUAUUGUUAACACCUCAAAUAAUUCAGUGCAAUGGACUUCUUAUAUGGUUCUUGUUUAAUAUGCCAUUUUAUUUUAUUUAUAAAUAUUUAAAGAAAACUAUGUAUUGUUAUAAUAUUGUAUAGUUAAAAAUAUAUGUAUAUAUACAUUUUUGUACCAAUUCUUUGUCUUAAUUGGUGUGUACAAAAAAAAUCAGUUGGAGAAGUAAUUGAUUUUUAUUUUUAAACACAUUAUAUUUUGUUAUAAGUGGGCCUUAAUUGCCUAAAAUAUGUCAAUAUAAUAUAAAUAUGCAACCAUAGUCCCUUUCCAAAAUGUUCUGCCUAGAUGAAUGUUUUACGUUUGUCAAUAAUCAUAACGUAUGUUGAUCAUCAGAAUAGAUAAUUCAGCUUUGUAUAGUUCUACAGUAAAUAAGGUGAUAGCAUUUGAAGGACAUAGCAUUAUAAAACUUAACAUCAAAUCUAGAUCAAAAAAGCAAAGUUUUGUAACAUCUCUUUAAAUACUACUAAAAAACAGUUCUCAGAACUCAUUUUAAUUGUAUCAGUACUUACUACUCGUCUUAGUCUAACAAUACCCAAAUGCUAGUUAUUUAACACAUAUACCUCACGUCUUAUUCCCGAAGAGGUACCCAGAGGUGCAACCAGCGCACCCACUUUCCGCCAUUGUUCCGUUCCGUUGAUAGGGGCUAACCAAACGCCAUAUCAGACAUAAAUUCUAGUUUUUAUUACAGAAACAGAAACGCAGUAUCACAUGCCUGACCCGGAAUUCGAACACCGGACCUCAUAGCAGUGUCGCACACAUUACAACUACGCCACCAAGGCUAGUUACUUAAUAGGUACUAAUUUGCAUUUUUUCCAGUGACCUACGUCAAGUCCAAACGAGGCAAGCCGCUGCUGAGUGUGGAAGGAUACACAUACUACGCAAAAUCUGUGACUGGACUGAGGACUAGAUGGGUGUGCUCUACACACUGCCGCAGGGGAUGUCGAGCCACCGUGCAGACUUUCGACAAAGAAAUUAUAAAAAUUAAUGAUCAUCACCAGCAUUAGUCCUGUCUUAAAGAUUACUAGAUCGAAUUAUUGGAAGCCUGCAUCCAGCAAGUUCCUGGGACCUGUUAUUGCAUUUGAAAAGCGAGACGAGCUUGCCAGUCGCCUAAUUGUGAACAAUACAACCGUCUAUAAAUAUUUGAAACACCAUACACAACUUUGAAUUACAACCCACUACGUACCAACCCGCUGAGCUAGUCACCUUAAUACAUAAUAAUAUGUUAAUAUUCAUUAUGCGCUCUCCCAAAAUUACUAUGUAAAUUGGAAUACAACAGUGCAUUCACACUGCUGCGUAGCAAUGGAAAUAGACAAUGCGGUGGUACCAGUCCAUUCGGCUCCUCGUUCUCGAGAAACCUACGACGACCACAUGAAGUCAUCUGUCCACCUUAAAGAUGAUGUUUAACCCUAUGCUUGCCAGUAAGUGGUUUCCAUGGGAAAAAAAUGCCCCUUUUGCUGUCAGGUCUGUUUUUUUAAACAGUGAAACAAAGGGAGACUGGACUACUUUUUUUCUAAGUUUCAAGCUUUUUGUUCGUAUUUGGGCAGCAAAUACAAACAAAAAGCUCGAAUCUGAAAAAAAUCUGAGUGUCGUCUCCCCUCUCUCCCUCUAAUUAUACCUUGCUUUUUUUAACACGGGGAAUUUACCGAUACUAUUGGAUUUACCUGUCUGUACUGUCCAGCCGACUCGCCAUGCUUUUACUCUCUUGCUUAUAUCUAGGGUCGUGGAGUGCGCAUGCGCAUGUAACCGCACAUUUCGCCUUGAUCCCGUGCUAGUUGUCGGCGUCCUCUCUCUUAGCACGUGCCGAUUGUAUCUAAGUCUAUUUCUUACUUUAAUUGGACUUAUAAGUGUUUUUAAUUUUUUUUCUUUUGAACUAUGUGUGCUUCCUAUGUCUUUAUUAAUAAAAGUUUUCAUUCUAUUUAUAUUUGUUUUACGUAUUUACAGUGUUCGUAAAAAUAAAAUAGUAAGAUAUUUACGUAGAUCAACUCUGUAUUACACAUUAUUUAAAAUUAUAAAGGUUUUCUCGCUACAAGUCUUUAUUUCAAUUAAACGUUUCAAAGCGCCAUUCGUACAGAGCCAGCGUCAUCUCUUUACAAAGACCAGAUUAAAUAUUAAAGAAGAAAAUUACCGGGAUAAAAAGUAACCUAUGUCACCAGGACAUGAUCUACCCGUGUAUCAAAUUUGAUUCAUGUUCAUUUAAGGUUCCUGCGUUUACUUCUAAAACAUUUUCACAAGCGUUCGGAUUGAUGACAUUAGUAAGUAGUUGAAUACAAUGCUAUAAAAAUACCAGAUUUCCGCGUUCAUGCGUAGAAAGUUCUCUUUCACGUUACUUCCUAAUCUUCGGGUACCUAUAGGUAAAAAAAUAUACAACGCCGUUGCAUUGUAUAUUGACAUAGCUAAAACAUUUAAUCUCGAAAUGUUCGGUAAUGCACAACUUUGUACCACGUUUCUGGGUACUAUUUAAAAAAAGUUACCAUCAAGCAAGCUUACUUUAGUUGUAAAAAGGGCCAGUAACUCUCUAAUCUCGGGACGAUCGUAAUACUUGACGGUCUUUAGGUAGUUACUAUUAAACAAUCAUGUCACUUUGUACAAGUUCUUUAGUAUUAGUUUAAUUAAUUACAGAGCUGUUAUUGAUUAAUGUUUUUUCCAGUGACCUACGUCAAGUCCAAACGAGGCAAGCCGCUGCUCAGUGUGGAUGGAUAUACAUACAGCGCGAACUCCGUCUCUGGACUGAGGACAAGAUGGGUUUGUUCUACACACAGCCGUAGAGGAUGUAAAGCCAUCGUCCAGACCUAUGACAAGGAAAUUAUAAGAAUAAUUAAUCAUCAUCAGCAUUAAUAACGUCUACAACCUGUCAAUUUUGUUAGCUUACUCCAGUAUCUCUUACUUUAAUCACUUCCUGAUUGUCUGGUCCUUGGCAACAUACGUAGCGUCACGAGUUCCCCUAUUCCUGGAGUAAACAAAAGUGUUGCCUAGGUAAGGACCACAUCCUAUGAAAUAAGGGACGAACAUUUUGCCAUAUAACGGACAGAAUACCAAUGAUAGUAAACAGAAAACUAUAAGUCUUCUGCUGCAGAUUAUGUUUAUUAUCUUUUUGUUUUGAAUUGUGUGCGCUUUUUAUGUCUGUAUUAUUAAAAUGUUCAUUGUAUUUAUGUUUGUUUAACUUGUUUAUGAUCUUAAGAAUAAAGCUAUUAUGAUACCACCCUUGUAUUAUGCUAUUCUGCUGCUAUGAAGGGGCCUCUACUACUGAGAAUUCCAGUUUUCUCGAGGUGUCGAUUCUUUUGUUUCAUUUUAAUCCUUAUUGCUAUUUAAUAAAGUGUAUUUUUUAAUUCUGGCACGUCAAAGUAACCCCACCUGAUGGUAAGGAACGAGAGGUUCAAUAGAAUGCCGACUAACGAAAUGAUUACUCCUCAGCAGGCGACACAAUUAUGCCAGCCUAUCGCAACUGGAUAAACAUAGACUGAUCCAGGAACGCGACACACUUACGUGGGCCACUAUGCCGGGUUUUAACACCUAUAUAGUAUUUGGUAUUUGAAUGUAACUUUUCCUGUUUUCAGCGAAAUUUGUGAUGUCAAAACGAGGGAAGCCGUUACUAAGCAUUGAUGGAUAUACGUUCUGCAUACAGGCGCGAAACGGUAUGAAGACCAGAUGGGUGUGUUCCACGCACAACACUAAGAAAUGUAGAGCCUCCGUCACCAUGUAUAACAACGAAAUUAUCAAAUUAAACACCAAUCAUCUACAUUGAAUUGGACGUAAAGAUGAUAAAGCUAAAGCCACAUGCUCGCCAAAGACUUUAUUUAUGAAAUACCAAGAUUUUUUUAAAGGAUCGACUGUCCAAUCUACCAUUUUUUUUCGGACACGGCAAAUCUGCUCCACUGCACUUCAUAAUAAGUGAAAUGACGCCAUAGAGUAUCAAUUGAACAAACGAUUCUUAUUAUAUAAAACGGUAAACUAACCUAAUUGAUCAGAUAUAUUCGAAAUCAAGUAUUAAAAACUAAUCUCAAAUUACAUGUGUUUUUGGAACUGUUUAACAGCGUCAAAUUUAAAUUUAAUUGGUGUCGGUACUAUUGCAAUAGUUGUUAUUAAUAAAUAUGUUUUUAUUAAUAAUUAUUAUUAUCAAUUAUGAAGACUUAUAAAUAGUGGUCAUGAGAAGUCAAGAUAAAAAGUUAUACAUAUAGAAUAAUUUCUAUGAACAUCCAGCAGAAUAAGAAGAGUUCUAAAAAUAAUGCUUGCUUUGUCUAAGACUGAAUUUACAAUCAGUCAAAUACGUAAAAUCGAAACGCGGGAAGACGUUGAUAAGUAUUGAUGGAUAUACAUUCUGCGCCCAGUCAGUGAUUGGAAUGAAGACACGCUGGAUAUGCUCCACCCACAACAACAAACGAUGUCGCGCCAGCUUGCACACCUUUGACAACGAAAUUGUGAAGAUGAAGAAUGAUCACAACCAUUAAUCUUAUACAUGUAAUGAACCUUGAAUCAUGAGCCUUAUGAGGUCCACUGCUGGACAUAGGAAUCUUAAAGAUAACCAUAAGAACCUCUCCAAUGCGGCCUGCAUCACAUACCCUUUACAGCACUUGACUUCGUGUGACUGAAUUAUGAAAUUAUGAGCCUUUUAUUCGUAUAUAAUCAACAUUCAAUAUCCUUAGAUUAUAUUCAUUCUCUUUGUAAAUAAACAUUUUAAUACUUUUUAAUUUUAUAUUUAUCGAUAAAAUUUCAUUAGUAGCCCAUUUUACUACUGAAUCAUGUAGGACACUAUGGAAUGGAGUACUAGUUUGUACCAAAUCAAGACCAUUAUAUGGGAAUUGCAUUAAAAAUCGUAAAAUUUUUGUUUACCGUCAGAAAGGGAGAUGGACUUGCGCUCUAUCAUGGAUAGGAUGUAACUUGGUAGUGUCGGGGUAUCUAUGGCGGCUUUUGCAUAGCCUUUUGAGGGUAGUACGUGUGAGCGACCGUCAAUGAAUCCUUUUUGAUCCAAUAGCCUGGUCAGUGGGUCUCCAACGAUGGGUGAAGAGGAUGGAGAAUGAAUGCGAGUAGAGUAAGCUGUUCGAACAUGUGCAGGUGUAUUUUAUACGCGACGACGCCGCGUGUUUUAAGACGCGUGCUACAGUUGUUGCGCCUCGUCCUACUUCUUCAGGGUUAAAUGGCGUGAAUAUGUAAAUGUGUGAUUAAAUAAGUUAAAUAAAAAUGUAACCAAGAUAAUAUGUAAUAAAAUACAAUUUAAUAUUAUAGCGAAAAUAGAAACUCUCAUUCAAUUCCUCAAUGCUACACAUUAUGACUAAUAUUCUGGAGUGUGCGUUUGAUACUUGUCUUCAAGGCUUGUAAAAUGCGCUGUUUUGAUAAGUACUUAUUGAUUUAAAUUUUUAGCAUCAUACGUCAUGUCUCGUCGUGGGAACCGGCUACUGAGUGUAGAUGGAUAUACCUUUUAUACUAAAGUGGCUACAGGAUUGAAGAAGAGAUGGGAAUGCUCGACACAUAACACUAAGGGAUGCAGAGCCAUGGUACACACGUAUGAAGAUGUAAUAGUUAAAUUAAACAAUUUUCAUACGCAUUAAACGCCCUUUAUUCAUUAAAAUAAGUCUUAUUUAGAGAAAAAUGUUUUUGAAUUUUGAAAUUAUACCAUAAAAAUAAAAUGUGUUUUUCUGAUCAGUAUCAAUAACCGAAUUACGCUAAAUGAUUUGUUAUGUUAACGCGACUGUUAGAAAUAAAACUAUUUUCCAGAUUU